UGGUAGUAGCAUCAUCUUCCUGAGCCUUUAUUUGCCUUGCCUCCCAUCCACGCGCCAUUUUUAAUCCGCGGAGAGGAGGGAAGCCCCGCCUCGCCCCGCUCAUCGACUGCCCCGCCGUGGCGCCGUCAUCGGGGAAUGCGACCGCGCGGCCGGCCAUGCCUCGCGCCGCGCCCGGGCUAGGGUUCCCCGCCGGCCCAGCGACCGAGCGCCGCCAUCACCCUCCGUCCUCCCGCCGGAAGAAGCCGCCGCCGCGCCGAAGGCGCCCCGCGCCGCCACCCGCUCCGCCGGUGGGGCCACGCGGCGCGCCCGAUCCAGAUCCGGGCCUCCUCCACCACCUCCACCUGCGCGGCAGCAGCCACGCCUCGCGUGCCACAGCUCCCAGAGACGACGACGAGGCGGAGGCGGGCUACGACGCGGCCGGCUUGGAGGAGGCGGCCGCCGGCGACUCCUUCUCACACUCGCUGAAAGCAGAGUGCCAGAAGCAGCUGCAGCUCAGGGCGGAGGCGCGGCCGCCGGCGGCCUCGCAUGAGCUCGGCAACGGCGACGCGUUCGGGGGGAUCGAGCUGCUCGUGCUCUCGCCGAGGUGCCUGCUCGGGGCUGCCGUGGGAGGGAUGAGCAAGAGCUCCACGGCGUCGUCGCGAAGCAGAUCAGGCACGUUUCCGAGCCCCGGGACGCCCAACUACCACCGGCAUUGCGCCGGCAACAUGCAGUACCCCAAGGGCUGGAGCUCGGAGCGGGUGCCGCUGGGGGCAGGCGCCAACAGGAGGUAUGGGGGCAGCGGGGUUGUGCUUCCUUUCAACAAUGGGAGGAAGCUGCCGUCCAAAUGGGAGGACGCCGAGAAGUGGAUCUUGAGCCCGGUUUCUUGUGAUGGGAUGGGGAGGAUGUCUGCACCGGCGCCGCAUCAUAGACGGCCAAAGUCGAAGAGUGGGCCGCUUGGUCAUCCUGCUGGUGUUCCAGGAGCUUAUGCAUCUGUUUCGCCGAUGAUUCCCUGCUUCGAUGGUGUUCUGGCGGCCGCUAAUUUUGCGGCUCAUUCGCCUUUCUCUGCUGGGGUUCUCAUGCCAGGGCAUGCGCGCAAUGGUGACUUCAGCAGUGGAAGAGCCAGAAGUGGGGAUGAUGGAAGCAGUAGGUCCUAUUCGGCUGAGAAGGAGCCGUAUAUUUGGAGAUCAUCAAGUACGCAUGCGUGGACAGAAACACUUAUGGAGGCAUCUGCCUUUGCUCAUAUCUCAGAGGAAGCUGCACAAGAUGAUGUCUUACAAGGCCAACAAGGAGCGACUCCUGCGAUUUCCAGUCCAAUUAUAAAGAAAGAUGUUGCCACACAAAUGAGUCCUGAUGACAGUAUAAUAUCAUCCUCCCCAAAAGCGAGGCAUUCCUGCUCCAGUUUGCCGUCAGGACAUGCUAUUAGAGAAUCCAAUAGUCAUACACCUAAGGUUGAAGUUAGGGAUGUGCAGGUAGAUGAUCAAGUAACUGUUACCCGGUGGUCCAAGCGACAUGUAACACGAGGCUCUGAUAAGCGAUCAACAAAUAUUGUGGAAUGGAGGAAGAAGACUACAGAGGCCCGAGCUCCAUCUUUUGAUGAAAAAGAAAGAGAAAGAUGCAUAUCAAAGUGCAAGAGAGAGGAAGCAAAGAUCACUGCUUGGGAAAAUCUGCAGAAAGCAAAAGCAGAGGCAGCAAUUCGGAAGUUGGAGAUGAAGCUUGAAAAGAAGAGGUCAUCAUCGAUGGAUAGAAUUUUGGGCAAACUACGUUCUGCUCAAAAGAAGGCACAAGGCAUGCGUAGUACUGUCAGCGAGGAUCAGUGUGCUGUCAGUGAAGAUCAAUGUGCUGUGAGGGCAACCAAGAAGGCAUCCUUGAGAAGAAGUGGCAAGCCUUUCAGCUGCUGUUUCACCUAUCAUGCUUGCUAAUUGUAGUAUUGUUGGUAUCUACAAUGAUUGUAGAAACCUUUUGAGAGAUUCAUUUCAUCAAAUAGGGUUUCCAGAAGGAUGGUCCAAACUGGGUUUUUGAAUUGGACUACAGCUUAUCAGCAUGCAAACCUUUGGAGCUUGAAGUCAGCCGACAGACAAACCGAAGUUCGACUGCAAAUGCCCGCCGUUGCAGCUGGAGAUAGCAGGAAUAGUUAGAAGAAGAGAGCCUUGCGCAAUCUGAUGAACGGGGAUCGAAAUUUGGGAGCAAAGCCCACUCUUGUAGCUGAUGAUAUGAUAUGGAUUACUUCACUCGGUACUCUGUAUCUGUAAACCAAGCAAGUGCUGUAGAUCAGGAAGCUCCUCUCUCGAGCUUCUCUCUAGCUGAACACCGGACUGAUCGUCUGGUCCUCGUGGGCUGCCUGAUGAUGUGUACUGUAUGUUUCCCAUGGAAUUCUGUAUGUAGUUUCAAGCAUUGGGGCUCUAGCGUUAAGUGUUGGAUUCAUUGAA